UCCCUGAUGGCUCAGUUGGUAAAGAAUCUGUUUGCAAUUCAGGAGACCCCAGUUCAAUUCCUGGGUCAGGAA
rnacentral:tRNA from 1 species